rnacentral:piRNA from 1 species
UAGGUGACAAUUUUCUAUAAGCCUUUCAGCCU